rnacentral:ncRNA from 1 species
CUAUGACUUUUUGUCAUGGCGGAAGGAG